rnacentral:rRNA from 1 species
CCCUACCCGAAGUCUAAAUCCGAUUGUGGCUUUGGAUUCAUUCCAUAGCGGGUGAAAGUCCCGUGCGGGUAGGACUAUUGCAAAUCCACACGAUCCUUAGAUGUGCAUGCUAUCGAGUCGGAUUGCUUGAGAAUGCAGUCCAAAGUGGGUGGUAAACUCCAUCCAAGGCUAAAUACUGGCACGAGUCCGAUAGUAGACAAGUACCGUGAGGGAAAGUUGAAAAGUACUCUGAAGAGAGAGUAAAUAGUACGUGAAGCCGAUUGCAGGGAAGCUGGUGGAGUCAAGCUUCGUGCUUGAGGAAUUGAUGCUGGGAGCAGGUGUGUGAAUUGUAUGUGAGAGUGGACAACUUGGAAUAAGUUGGGCGUGUUCUGAAUGCGCUUCAAGUCAUUCCGGGUAGAGUGUUAUGAGCCAUUCUCGCUUUGCUACUCUCAGUGUUGUAUUCCUCGCUGCACAGGCCACAGUCAAUAGGUGCAUGCGGUAUGAAGGCCUAACUGUGCUUCGGCGGGUGCAAGCUCUCCGGGCGCAGGAUGGCAGGUGCUGUCCUCGGACCUCGUGUCUGUUGAUAGUUGUUGUGGUUUCGACCGGCUGGUCUUCAUACUGUAUUGUGCUUAUUGCCUAUCGAUGGCGCAGUUUCCUCGGAAG